rnacentral:lncRNA from 1 species
CCGCCACGGAUCCAGUGGCCCGACGUGGAAGGCAGAACUCCCAGACCUUUUCUCUCCACCCUAAGCUUCUGCACGCGCGCACCGCCCCUCACCGUCGGCCUCUUCUCCUCUUCGUCCGCCACAGGAUCUCGCCUCGCCGAGGCCAUGUACCGUGCCGCCGGGGACCACAUCCGCUCCCUCAAGGUUUCGCCCUCUGGAUUUCACUGUGUUGGAGAUCCAUUCAUCACAACUUGACUCGAUUUAUGUCUAUUUACUUUUGUUGCUCGUGUAGGUGAAUAGACAAAAAUACGGGUGAGACAAAUUUUCCUGGUGUUGUACGAGGAGAGGGCAGCCAACGGCCACCGGGAGUUGGGUCCUAGGAGCCACCGACUUCAGCCGCCUGCUCAAUGACGGCGAGGGCGGUGCCUACCUGACAAGCCCGCACGUCGGCAUGGUAGUUGCCAUCAAGAAACUCAAUCCCAAUGACAUAAGGUAUGGUCGUAUGGAUCAGUGGUUUCUUGGCUCAGUUGUGUUAGUACCAUCUUGACAUUGUUGAUCACAGAUUAGUCGGGAUUUUUACAGUGUUAAAUUUUUUUAGAUGACUCGAUGUAUCCUAUUCAGCUAUAUGGAUCGAUUAUGUGUUUCUGUCCUAUUCUUAAAUUGCUAACAAUUAGGCUUAUUGAUUUUAUAUUUCCAGUGGCUAAUUACUGAUAAGAUGCCCAUGGGAGACAUGUUACAGUAAUACAGUCUUCGUAUGGCUUAUGGUUAUGCUGUGUUGUGUGGUAUAGAACAUACCUUUUUCUUUGUUAUGAAGAAGAAUAAUGUUUUGCUCGGCAAGCCCCUUAACUGUGAAGGUUACGAAUAUUGUGAGAUGUUGCUGUCUAGGAGAUCAAUUUGUCAUGCUUCAUUUUUAGAUCGAGCAAUCUCAUUUCUGGGAGGAUGAUUGUACAACUAUUGGCAUGCUUGCACUUGUUUAGCUGCCUCUUUCUGUUCCUUCAUACUAAUGUUGCUUUUGAACUUAUCUUUGCAGGUUCGAAUGCUCCAUUCCUUAGACAAUGCCAACGUCCUGAAAUUUUACUCCUGGUAAGGUUCUUGGGUGUUUGAGUUCUAUGGAUUCAGCUUGGCUGAUUUUGCAGUGUGACAACGAUACUAAUUCGCUAAUGGCUUUGUGAAGGCGAAUGGUACCAUGUGAUCUGCUAACGCCACACACACCAAAAUGUGCACUCCUUUGUGUAUAGACAUUCCAGUUCUUUACUUGUAAUUGAUAAUUGAAGUAUACUCCAAUUCCAAUCACUCUAUAAUUGAUAAUUGCAGUAUACUCCAAUUCCAAUCACUAUUUUUUAUUGUUUAAUAAAUCAUCAUUCAAUAUGAGCAAGGAGGCUAAACGACAUACUAGCCCAAAUAAUGUGUGAUUUAAUUAUUCAUCCAACAACACACCACUAGCACUUCCAGUCCUUUCAUACAAGAUGUUGUUUAUUUUGUAGGUGGUCCUUUUGUGCUUUCCCUUGCACACAAACACAAAGUGAACUUUCUUCUGUGAUCAGGUAACAUAUCAGUCUUUUACUUCAACCGGUAUGUUCACAAUGAGCUUUUUAGAAUAGUUUGUAAAAAUAUAUUCGCAUGUCCAUUUUUCAUUGGAUGUUGGUCUCUCCCAGAUAGCCCAAAUAGAUCUGGUCAACGAACAAACAGAAAUCACAAUGCAAUGCAACUUAACUGUAUGGCCCUUGAAAAGAUAUAAAGGUCUUUUUCUAUAAGAUCUUAGAAAGAAGCAUUUAUAAUCCAACUCAGCUCACAAAAAUGUGGGGACGUAAUGUAUUGAAGCCAAUUAGAAGAAUGAUAUUAUAUAUAAGAUAAUAAAGAGGAUCAUUGUGGUCAACAUGCACAACACAAAAUAAAUAUAGAAAGGUAAUAUAAACUGAUCCACUUAGGGAGCAUAUUGCACCUUUGUUCAGUCAGAUCAAAGGCUCUAAGAAGAUGCAUAAGUGUUAAGUUAUGCUUAAAAGGGAUGAGGGAACCCAACUGCAAAAUCUGUACUUAGCAUUUCACAGGGAAAAACAUACUGCUAAUAUAAAUUAUAUAUUAAAAAAUCAGUCACCUUAUCAUCUUCAUCUUUUUCCAAGAAGGUAUUCAUAACAAUAACCAUUGGUGGCCACACUAUCUCACGAUCAGUGCUUUCUUGCAGUCCCUUCCAUUUCCCAAAUUGUUCACCCGCUGGUAACACUGAAGUUCCCCUGCGAGAAAGCUCCUCUUCCAGCAAUGCAGCCAAUUCCCUGUGAAGUUUAACCCUUGUAGAACCCUUUGUUCUAGCAUGAGUCACUAAAGGUUGCAGCCCUUUGUACCAGUCAAUCGCCCCAGGUCCAUUUUUGCAUGCCGGGCAAUGCCAUUGCCGAGUUUGUCCAUUAAUUUGUUCCAAACUCAAUGUAUUCAAUACUUCAAAGAACUCUUUGAACCACUUGUUUGUUUUUCGAGUCUCAAAACUUUUCUCACUUGCGUCAGAAUCAUAGUCAUCACUGAUAUCAUCACUCAAAUCAUCAUCAUCAUCAUCAUCUGAUGUAUUGUUGCCAUCAACAUUCUCCACCUCAGGGACAGAACCAGAUGGAGGAGCAUCAUCCUUCUUGACUUCAGAUCCAGAUGGGCGAGGCCUGGAUUGCCACUGC